GAUGAACGCUAGCGAUAGGCUUAACACAUGCAAGUCGAGGGGCAGCACAAGGUAGCUUGCUAUCUGGGUGGCGACCGGCGCACGGGUGCGUAACGCGUAUGCAACUUGCCCUAUACAGGAGGAUAACCCGUCGAAAGACGGACUAAUACUGCGUAUGCUCACAACUUGGCAUCAAGUGGUGAGGAAAGAAAUUCGGUAUAGGAUAGGCAUGCGUCCCAUUAGCUUGUUGGUGAGGUAACGGCUCACCAAGGCAACGAUGGGUAGGGGAACUGAGAGGUUUAUCCCCCACACGGGUACUGAGACACGGACCAGACUCCUACGGGAGGCAGCAGUGAGGAAUAUUGGUCAAUGGGCGCGAGCCUGAACCAGCCAAGUCGCGUGAAGGAUGACUGUCUUAUGGAUUGUAAACUUCUUUUAUACGGGAAUAACAAGAGUCACGGGUGACUCCCUGCAUGUACCGUAUGAAUAAGCAUCGGCUAACUCCGUG
rnacentral:rRNA from 1 species